UACAGAUUAAUACAUGGUAAAGCCAGAGUUUGAUGCUGGCUUAGAAGCCUGCCUUUUACACCACUGUGUUAUUCAUUAACCCACAAUCAGUUUUAGUUUUCAUAUCUUUCCUAUACACCAUAUAUAGACACAUUUCGUUAAUCAAAUGGAAUCAUACUAUACUUUUAUCCAUAACAAUAUUUAACUAUUCUCCACUAGAGGGAUAUUUACAUUUACUACUUUGUAAAUAAUAUUAUUUAUGAAUAACAGAUUCCCAGAAAUGGAUUUGCUAUGUCAAAGUGCAUUUUUUCUUCCUCUGGAUUUUUAAUUUUUGUCACACAGACCCAAGAAAAUGUGUAUUUUAAACAUUUGCCUCUUUUUGACGUUAGUAUUUGUACUUGCAUAUAACCAAUUGUCCCAGAAAACUUAGUAUCUGGUAGAACAAGUCCAAAUUCUUAUUUUUUCAAAAUUGCCUUUGCUAUUCUCGGUCCCUUGUUCUUCUGUAUAAAUGUUUUAGCCACUUUCUCAAAUUGCAUAUUAAUGCUAGUAAUUUUCCCAUGGAUCUCUGUUGCAAGUCCUCCAUAGACAGUCAUAGAGUCUGCCAUUAAGAACUUUUUCUUCCUUUCCAAUCCUACUCUUCUCUUCCUUCCUCCUUCUCCCAGCUCUUUCUUAACUGUGUAACAAGACCUGCCACAAAGUGUCGAAUACCAAGUAGUCACUCAUAAUGGGCAUGUUUGUCCAUUCCUCCUCUUAAAGUGAACGUGUCUAACAUUCUAUCCCAAUAUAUUGGUGGCAUUAGGUUUUGGUGAUGAUCAUAAUAGCUAUGUAACAGAACUGAAGCACAGUACUUUUAAAAUGAGUCUAAAAUCAUGAAUUUUACUACCAAAAAAGUAGCAGAAAGUAGGUUAGGAAAUAGGGAAAGUACGCACAUUUCUUUUUAUAUAAGUGACAGUCUAUAGCAACUCCCUCGUUCCUGACAUUAUUCAUUCAAAAAAUAGGUUUACAUAUGUCUUCCAAACAUUUAAAGAUAAACAGGAACAUUACAAAUCAACAGAAGUCCCCCAAACACAAAUUUUAAAAAGAGAGUAAAAGAAAGUUAAUAAAAGAUUAAAAACAAAGCCAGCAAGGUAGCAUUAAAAAAAAAAAAAAAAGGCAAGAAGGGAUUAUAAAAUAAACUUUCAGAAGAUCAAGUGAUAAUCUUAAAACUGGACCACUGAAAUUAAAAGUUUUCAAAAAUGUGAAGAAAUGGAACAAAGAUUCAGUAGUUAUGAACCUGUAAGUGCUCAACAUAGCACAGAAUAUAUAUAACAAAAAGGAUUAAUAUGGAAAAAUAUGUAAAAGCAGUAUGAGAAUUUACAUUUCUCACUCCUUGAGAGACAUAUAGAUAGUAAGUAAAGAUCUCCCCAGUGUUCAAUGAAUAAUAUUGAUUGAAUGGUUAUAUGACAAACUGUACCAAGGGAAAUGCCCUGUACCAGAGCACUCAGGAAAUAUUUACAAAAUGUGUUUGGUUAGAAGGUUAAAAAGAUAUCCUUAAUAAGUUCCCCAAAGUGGACUGUAUACAAUGACUACAUGUAAUACAAACUGUAAGUUAUUGGGGUACCUGGGUGGCUCAGUUGGUUGAGCGUCCGACUUCAGCUCAGGUCAUAGCUUGCCAAUUCAAGCCCCGCGUCGGGCUCUGUGCUGACAGUUCAGAGCCUGGAACCUGCUUCGGAUUCUGUCUCCCUCUCUCUCUGCCCCUGCCCCACUCACGCUCUGUCUCUCUCAAAAAUAAACAUUAAAAAAAAAAAAAAGAAAGAAAAGAAAAGAAAAGAAAAGAAAAGAAAAGAAAAGAAACUAUAAGUUAUUAACAAAACACUAAAGUAAAAAAUAAAGUAUAUCCAGCCACCUGGAAAUUCAAACACACUAUCCUCAGUAAGCCUUGGAUCAAACACGCUAUCAAAUUUGCAGCCACCAAAUAUUUAGAAAACAGUAAUGAUAACACACCAUCCUCAACAUACGGAAUGGAGCCAAAGAAAAUAAUCAGAGAAUCCAUACCAUUAACAUGGCUUUAGAAUCGAAGAAAGAAAAAUAAAUGGAUCAGUCAUUCAUACUCAAGAGGUGGGAAUAAGUAAGGGAAGUAGAAGAAAGGAAUCAAAGUCAAAAUACUGAAAUAAAUGAGAAAACAGGUAAUAGAUCCUUCCUUCCCUGGUAGUGAGAGAAAGGAUGGAGGAAGAAGGGAGCAAACCAGAGCUAGUCUAAUCAAGGAGAAGAAAAGACACAAAAAGGAGAUUGGUAAUAGAUAAUAUAUGUAUUUACAACAGUGAGAUUAUUAAGUGCAACUAUAUGCUAAGAACAGUUUAAAUAUAAGGUAGACCACAAUGACAAAUUUCCAGAAAAAGGAAAAUUACCAACAUUUACUCAAGAAACAGAAUGCUGAACAGAGCAAGAACAUAUGAGGAAACAGAAAUACUGUGAAAGAAUUACCUUCAAGAAAAGAGUCAGGUGUAUCUGGGUAUAAGUAAAACAGCAUCAACUUCAAUAAACAAUCAUUCUCAAAUAUAUAAACUAUUCCAAAUCAAACAAAACAGGAGAUAGUUUUCCAGUUUAUUCUGCACAGCUAUCAAAACCUGUAAAUUAAAACCAGACUUGUUUCUUAUGAACAAACGUAAAUACAAAAUCCUAAAUACAGGGUUAGUCAAUAGAACACAGCAGCAUUUUAAAUGAGCAGCUCAAGAUUGGAUUCUACUAACAUAGUUGGUGUCUAUGAUCAAUAGCUCAAAGGAGAAAAUCUGUAUAAAUAUAAUGGUAGACACUGAAAACGCAUUUGAAAAAAAAAUUUAACAUCUGAUCCUAAUAAAUGGGCUUCAUGAAUAAUCUUGACAUAAUAAAGCACUGUCAGCACAGAGUCACAAACCAUGAGAUCAUGCCCUGAGCCAAAAUCAAGAGCCAGACGCUUAACCAACUGAGCCACCCAGGUGCCCCAUAAAGCAUUCUAUUUCUACUCUAUAGGUUAAAAUUAUACGUGGGAGUGAAAUACUACAGACUUUCAUAAAGUCAGAAACAAGAAUGCCCAUUAUCAUAUUAAAUCAAACUGAAAAUUACUGGAAAUUAUAAUAAAAUGUCUUCAGUUAAAAAAAAGACUGCUUUCCUAUAUAAGCAGUGACUAGUUUAAAAUAUUACAAUACUAUUAUUUAAUAACAUGAAAAGGCCAUUUCUAAAGGCAACAACAGUAUUUUUGGAAACUUUUAAAAAAAUUAACAGCUACCGUAAAGAAAAUUUUGGAACUUUUAAUGAGGAACAUGCAAAAAACCAAUUCUAUGUUCUCAAUGGAAAGACUCCUAAGUAAAUUUAAACACUUAAUGUUUCCAGUUAAAAUCCUAACAAGAUAUCUUGGGGAAAGUGAACAAAAUGAUUCUAAAAGUCACAUGAAAAAAUAAACAGGCAAAAAUAGAAAACUUUGAAAAAGGGACAACUAAGCUCUGUCCUACAGCAAGUAUUACUGCCUGCAGUGUACUAUACAUCGUUCUAGGGAUUGAAAAUAGAGUGAUUAAAAAAAGGACUACAAGGACCGAUGCAUAAUUUAUACAGACAUAAUGCAACUGUAGAACUUGUAACAGAAGAGAUGAGGGUGGAACGCAACUGAAAGCCCAGAAACAGACCUGAAUAAGACAUAGAUGGCAUUUACAAACUAUGACUAGGACGCACUGCUCACCAAUGCUGCUUGCGUCAUCAGGUUAGCCACUCCGAGAAAGCCUUAAGUCGUCGCUCACCUCACAAAACUGAAUUCUAAGGUGAUUUAGAAUUAAGUGUAAAAGAAGCCAGAGAAGUAAAAUAAAACUUAUGUGAAUAUUAAAAUAAUCUUGGAGAAAGCUUUUCUAAGGAGAAACCAUAGGAAAAGAUGAAUAGAAUUGGCUACAUAUAUAAUAAAUUUUUCCUACAUCAAAACACACCAUACAGUGUUUUUAAAAUUAUACUUUACAUAGGGCUAUCUUCUUUAUCUCUGUUGCUCUUUCAAGCAAUAAUUGAACAUGAAUAGUUAAUAAAACAAAAUAUACCUGGCUAACAUGAAAUAAUGAAUUUCAUUAGUAAUCAAAUAAAUACAAAUCGAAAUGAUUUAUCACCUGUCAAAAUGGCAGAUUUAAAAGUUUUAAAUACCCAGCAUAGCUAAGUGAAAAGUAAUAGGAAUGAAUGUAAAAUUUGCAAACCCUUCCUGAGGGCAAUUUGGAUAUAGCAAAUUUUACCAAAUAUACUCCUAUACACCAGCAAUUCCAAGGAAAUCAUGCAUAUUUGUUUUUAUGUGGAUUUUCAUCACAGUUAUUUAUAACAGAAGGGUUAGAAAUAUUUUGUGUCCGGCAAUAAGGAAAUUGGAAGCUACGGUUCUUCUUUUUAUAAGGGAAUAACUUAACAACCAUUAAAAAGAGGGUAGAAUUUAAUUAUUGGCAUAGCAGGAUGUUCACAAUGUAUUAUUAAAUGAAAAAAAUAAACUACAAAGUUACGGGUAACAUAAACCCAUUGUUUUAAGAAAAAGAUUAGAUACGCAUUUAUAUACAUCCAUCAAAGUCUAAUUAUUAACGGUUCUCUUUGGAGGUGUUCCUACAUUUUCAAAUAUGUACCAGUCUAAAAAGGACAAAGUAAGUAUUCCGGGUUUUAGGUUUUGUCAAUAAAACACGGCACAAUGGAUAAUAAGUGGUCAUCUUUUUCAGAUUAUUUAUUAAGAUUAUUCCUGGAAGUCUGUACUGGAUAUAAGCAAGAAUAAAACAAGGCUAAAAAUGGCCUCGAAUUCUUAUGGCAGUUUAUUUACAGACUAUCGAAUACAGCCUUUAUGUAUUUAUUUUUAAACAAAUGGCUUCUAUUAAACACAUUAAACAGUUACAAGACUUUACUAAAAGUUCUUGCAAAAAAGUACAACACCUUUACAACAAACUAGCUGUCAAAGAAAACCAAGGGGUGAUUCACUUACAGGGCCUCAUUUUGAAUGCAACUACAACUAGGAAUUGUUUUGACGUGAUGAAGAGGGUAAGACCCACAAAAUUUGUCAGUCUACACAAUUUAAAGACAAGUUCUGUUAUGGUCAAAAUUUUGUUUUCUCGCCUUCAAGUGGAUCCCUUGAUAGCUUAUUAAUUUAAUAGCUUUUAUUUUUAAUUAAAUUAAAAGCAGCUUGAGAAAUUACCUGGAGAGGCUUUGGUAAAUGACAAACCGUUGCUCCCUCAUGACACCACUGGAAAUUAUAAACCCUUGAAAGAUUUUAAAAGUAAUGUUUGCAGGCCUGCUAGCAUAGACUUUCCUCCUCUAAAGAGAAAACAAAUGUAAAUGAUUCAGUUCACUACCUAAUCGUUAUUUAAAAACUACUGUUGUUAAAAAGAAACAAACAAAAAACAAACCAAAAAAACGAGGAGCCUCCUUUUGAAGAACUAUCCAUCCUGUAUAGGCUUCUAAUGAAGUUUUUCUAAAGUUUUGUUUUAGUCUAUUUUUUGAGUCAUUUUAUAAGUUGACUUUUUAAAACCAUUUGUUAAGGUAGUUGUUCAGUAUUCUAAAUUUAAUUAUUUUACUUCACUGUAACACUGGUAAUUUUUUUUUUUUUUUUUAAGUUUGAGAGAGUGAGUGUGCACAUGCGUGAGCAGGGGAGGGGCAAGAGAGAAUCCCAAGCAGGCUUCUGUCAGUCUGGCCCCAACAUUGGUAACUAUUUUAAGUCAAUUUUUUUAAAAAAGUUAAGUGUUUUCUGCAGAAUUUAGAUGUGGCUUAGAGGAACUGCCCUGGAAAUCCAUCUCUACAUCUCAUUUGUCUUAGGCUGUAAAAGUGAGGGGACAGACCAGAUGAUUAGAAUAUUGGAAGGAAUGUCCUGUUCAGACUUUAAAAAUCUCAAAACCAGUAUCCCAGAGGAUCAGUAGAUUUUCAUUCAGAACUCGUAUUUCAAGUUUAUUUUAACAAAAGGUGGGGGGAGGGACUAUGGUGAAAAGUUGUGUAAAAUAUGAUUAAGCUCCUAGCAAACACGGCAAAACUUUGACUCGCAAGUUCCAGAGAGAGUAGUUUGGAAGCACUUAACCCAUUUACCUUCCACUUUUCUUAAGAAAUCCUGAUAUUUCCUACAAAUUGGCCUAUUACAAAUUGGCCAGAUGCAACUUAAAAUUUGUUUUCAUCAUAGAGUUUCCAGUUGUUCUAUUUUGUUCCAGAAUGUUAUUUCUUUAUUGUUUCCACUUUAAAACUGCACACGCACAUGGUCACUUCUUACAUUCACUUAAGAGUAAUGUAGAUACAGCUGAGAGUAGCAAAUACUACUAGCUUCUCCAGACCCUUUUUAAAAUCUUAUCAGCCCACUGGAAGCGUGACUGAAUGCCCUUCACAAGUUAACUGACGUAGCCCAAGGCACUGAAUAUAUAUACUCACUGACAGAAUGAAGCCCUGAAUCACAGCCAAAGCAUUAUCUUAAUUCACAUUCCACAAACCAUUUUCAUCAAUAAACCUCUUAAAACGAGUCUUAAAAAUUUCAUGGGUGACUACAAUUCUUCCACAAAGAACAGACUGAAGACUUUUAAGUUGCAUGCAGAAAAACUUGCCGCGUCAGGAAAUAUAAAUGGGAAUUUCACAUGGGAGAUAAGAAGUUUUCUUCUUUUGGUAGGUCAAUCUUUUAUUUUCAUCUUCAUAUUUGCAAUCUGACUUACCUGUUUCUUUCCCCAAAACUUAAGUAACGUUUUAUGGUCCUUAGACUUUACUCAAGAAUACUCGUGAUUACUGCAAUUAUAACCUAUGUAAUUAGUGAUUUCCAUCCCGGCUCUUUUUAUUAAUCCGGAUUUACUAAAGUAUUAAAUGGUAUGGAAGGAUGCAUUGAGAUUUUUAUUACCGUAUUUCACCGACUGUUUCAUAUAAUAACAUCUAUGAAUUUGGGAAGUAUCUUACAAUUACUGCAUCUGGGCAUUGUGUUGUGGUUUAACCGGCAAGAUUUUUUCUAAGUGGUGCGUAAGAUACUGGUAUAUUUCACAAUUAAUACUGUCUAAGGGUAAUACUAUCAGCUGUAGUUCAAAUUUCCAAUUUCAAGCAACAACUUCCCUGUCCUCCCAGCCACUCUCCCAACAUAAAUAUAUAACUGAAAUGUUGGAAAAACUAUCCAAACACAGUUCAAUUUUAUAUAAAAUAUUUAAUUUUUAAAACACAGGCUAUUCAUGUCACAUAAAUAUCUUCAAUUUUCGGUUAGCUGCUAUGGUCAGCAGAAUUAUCAAGUGUGACUAUUAAGAAUAACUUAAGAUACUGUCACUUAUAGGAAAGUCUAAAGCGCUAAGACUCACCAUAUUAAAAUUUGAGAUAGUUGAAUACUGUAGCUAUUUUGCUAAAUUUGAAGUAUUUCUUCACCUCCUGCAAUGUAGUUUUAAGUUGUUAGUACUCAAAAUUCAAAUAAAAGCAAAAUAAUUGUUCUUCCAUUCAUUUUUCUCCCCAAUAACAAAAAAAAAAUUCCAUCAAAAAAAUAAAAUGAUCAACUGACAUCAACUCAUUUUAUAGCAGUAAAAUGGUAAAAUAUCCACUUUAAAAUAUCCUUGCUGUCACCAAACUGUAAUGCUUCCCAUAUAGUAUUUUGAAAUGAAGGUUCACAAGUCAGAGGGCAUGGGGUUAAAAGACUGACUUUAGAACUGGAGCAAAUUUCCAUUCUAAAACAGUUCUUCCGAUUUACAAUUCCAAUGAAAAAGUAAGUUACCAGGAGAAAGAACAGUUAAAACAAAAUGGUUAAUUGGCACAGCUCUCAUUUCCAGAGUUUAUUUUUCCAUUCAGGGAUACUGGAAACACUGGUUAUUCACCUUUGGUUCCUUUUGAGAAUUUAUUGUAAUUGUACGUGUGCCUGAGCGUGCACGAGAAGUUAGUUAGACUUGACACCAUUACAGCUUACAUAGGAUAGGGUUAGUCCAUCCUUCUUUGCUGCUUUUAAUAAAAGAGAAAAAUGCUAAAAUGAACUAAGGUUGCUCUAAGUCUGGCAGAAGUCCUAAUAAACCUCACAGAAGGUGAGAGGAAGGAAGAGAAGAGGUUUUCUCUCACUACUUUUUUUGUUUCAAUAAAUUCAGUGUAGGCAAAGUUUCUAGUUAACAAACUGAACGGCUUUUUCUUAAAAUGGCAAUUGCGUAACUUAAAAUAUGAUGUCUGCCUCCCCUCCCCCCAUGAACUUUAAUAGAAUCAGGCAAUUCUGUUUAUUAAGCCUUGCUUCUGCACUACUGCCCUCCAAUUAUCCAUGGCAAAAGGAAAACAGGGACAAUAUGGCAGCCUGAAAACGGGUACUCUAAAAUUCUCAUUUAGCUAUUACUUUCAACCACUUAAAUGAUGUAACUUUUUAGAACUUCUUGGAAGUAACAAGAUACUGACUGGAGUUCUAAUCCCUUUCUUUGCUCUCACGCUCCUAGCAAGACAAGGUGGUAGUGGAAGGUAACAUAGCCCAAAGACAGGCAGGAAAGAAGAAAGUGUGACAGGCAGAGGGAAUGAGUCUAGCGGGAACUGAACAGGCAGCAGUCCCUAAACACUGGAGAGCUCCCUGCCUCUUCAAUACAGUAUUGAUUCCCUUUAGAAGACAAAAUGGGUGUAAAGGUUAACUGCUUUUUCAGACCUUCAGCUUACCUGUUAAGGCACUUACUUACCCUCCCCACCCCAUAUUUUUCAUAUAAAACCCACUAUUUCAUUUGAAUGCAUUUUGCUCGGCUAUGAUAAUCUGCAAAAUAAAACAAAAAUAACGUUGACCAUUUUUUUUUAUAAAACUGUUGCAUCAAGAGAAAGGUUGUGUUUUAUUUUCUGAAGUGAGCACAAAGUACACCUUUCACAAUAACACUGGAAGCAGGUGCAAAGACUGACAGUGACCUUUGACUAAAGGUAGCUUUGUAAAAAGAAAAAUACCAAAUAAAUCAGUGCCCUUUCUGAUUGUUGUAAAACUGGAGGGGGGGAGGGGUUGGUUGGUUGUUACAUAAAAGUUGGUCCAAACUUACAAAAAAAGCACAAAUGUGCAUAGUUCAGAAGAUCUGCAAGAGGGCCAUAAAAAGACUCUUAUGUCCCUAAGAUUAGCAUCCACGUAAAACUGCAAGAAUACAAAAUAAAAUUGUUAACUAGAAUUUGUGAAGAUGUACAAUCAAUAGAUCUAGUUUUUAGAACAGCAUGAAUUUAAGCAAAGGUUUUUUUUUUCUUUUUUUUUUUAACUAUUGUAUGCAAGACCCUUUUCCACAUAAAAAUAAAGCUGUUGUUGAAUUAAUAUUAUUCAAGUCUCUUGGAUUGCUGCCUUAAAUUGCAGCUAGAAAAGUCUUUCCAGAUAAAAAUGAUGUGCCUGAGGAAAAACAGAUACUCAGUAUGGUAACCCUCUGCCUCGACCUCUGCCAGCUGAUGUGCUAAUGUGUCCCCUGUAUCCUUGUGAAUAUCCAGGUCCUUGGGCAGGAGAAGUCCAGGUCUGUCCAUGCAUGAGGCCGGGGCCACCCGGGUUUUCCUGUAAGUUACCACCAUAGUUAUAGUUGUGCAUCUUUGCUGGCAAAGGAUGAGUACUCUCUGGCCCUGUGGGAGGGUCACUGCUGUUUGCCAGGACUGCAAUGGGGCCAUGGCUAUAUUCAAAUCUAUGGUCCUUGUCUCCACUGAACAACAUGGGACCAGUAUUGAGGUAAAUGUCUCCGUAUCCAGCUACUGAACUGGGAAAUGACUCGGAAAAGGCAGAAGGCUGAGGUGGACCACCAGAAUGAGAUGAAGAAGUACUGUAGUUAUCCAAAGACUGAAUAUCUGAGUUUCCAAUGAAGCUACGUCGUUCCAAUGGUGGAGGAGCAGAGCUACUUCCCAGACCAUCAUUGCUAACAUAAGGAGCGGAAGAGAAAGAAGAGGAUCCAAAAUUGUCCUUGUAGUCUGAUGUGGGCACAUAAGUGUCUCCUGCCUGGUAAUCCAUACCACUUUCUCUUUUGGGAUCAUCCUGGGGCUGAUGCUGAGCGAGCAGCUGUAACAGGGCGGCUUUCACUCCGGCAUGAGGGUCAGUUAACGAAGAACUGGUGGUGGGUACGUGCUGGUUUUCUGUCCGAUAAUCCAGAUCUUCUUCGGUCACUGGUGGUGGUUCAGGCGGUUCAGGAGGUCGCUGAUCAGGAGGGAGGAUACGAGGCCGGUCCGGUUCUGGGGUGAGCUCCAAUAUCCUCAUAUCUUGGUGCUGAAUGAGGUCAUCUUGCCCUAAGUGAAACAAAGCAAAAAGAAAAGGAAAAAAAAAAAGAGAGAGAGAGAGUCAAAAGUGAUCAUGGAAAACUACGUGUUUCAAAAUAGUCAGUUUCCUACAGGUGGUCCUAAAGAACAUCACAAGUUCCGGAAGUUCCAUUUCCAGCAAAAAAAAAGGAACGAAAGGAAACAGGGAUAUAAAUACUAAUAUUGCCUUCUACCAUUUAGGUCUGUGGUGACUGAAAAAUUUAACUGCAUUGGACUUUUCCAAGGUAUCUCACAUCUACCUAUUUAUUGCCUGAAGAACAAAAGCUACCGUACACACAAAGUUUCUGCCUUGCUCAAUUAUGUUGUUGUAGUUGGAGUAAAUUAUUUCUUCCAUCAGAGGUUUACAUGAGAAAAAUCUCUGGCAUUCUUAAUGAGCUACAGCACACAUGGGUAAUUUGUCAAAGAAUCUACUCUUCCUAGGAGUAAAUGGACUCACGAACCAACCUAUGACCAGUGACCUGGGAAUUUUCAGAACAUCUACUCCUAGCAAUGCCACCAAACGAUACACAUCAGAGACACCCCCCCCCCCCCCAAUCAAGAAAAACAGUGUGGACACUGUUAGCGGUCUGCUCUCUGCACACUCACCCGAUGCCGGAGUGCUAGGUUCUGGAGGUGGCCUGAGUUGUAAUGACGCUUCAUGUCCCGACCCAUUUUCCCUGUCUUCCAGUAGCACAUCUUUCUGCUUGGACUGCUGGGCCUUUAUUAACUGAGUCAGCAGAACUGCGAACGCGCUCUGCACGGCCGCCUGGGCAGCAUCAGUCUCCACUUUAGGCUGCGCGCUCUGAGAAGAAGGCUGAAUUCCUCCCAAUGGUUUCGAAGACUCCUGUUGUGGUGUGGAUGGGUCUGUCUGUUUUUCACCUGUUGCCAAAAUUCCAGCAGGAAGGUUUAUUUUAUUUAGCUGCUGUUGAGUCUCAGAGUUUACCUUAAUGUUCAACACUUGGACAAAAUCAGCCAUAUUAACACUUGUUUUAGACUGUAGUAGGUUUAGUAGAAUUGCCAAUUCACUGUGGUUUAACUGCUGUCCAGGGCCUGUUUUUACUAAAGACAAAAUUUGUAUUAAUUAGAAUUGCCAUAAUUCACAGCACACCCCGGCCCCCCAAAAUGCCUCUAUAUUACCCUAUUAAAAUGCCCAUUUGUGGGACAGUGUGUAGGAAACACCGUGAAACAGGAAUCUCAGUCUGGUUCUAAUUUCAUGUAUGUACAUUUAAGAUGUAACUGCAUGUAAGUCAAAACAACAACAACACACUGCAGCCCGUUUUGAAGAAUUCUCUUCAGGGCUCAAGAGUUCAAAAGGAAAACCAAGACUACUGCUGGAGCCCCGUACGGUAGGUGUGAGUGGGAUUUGCCAGCUGUGAGCAGGGACUGGAGGCGGCGGCGCGGGGCAGCUACAGUGUCAGGCACUCUUGAAGCAUUUGGGAUCUUUCAUUCCUCGCAACAACCUUGAAGGCACCCUCUAUUAUUACUCCCAGUUUGUUUGUUUUUAAACUGAAGAAGAAACUGACAUCCAGGGACACUAAAUAAUUUGCCCAAGGUCACAAACUCUGUAAGCGGCCAAGUUGAGAUCAGAACCCAGGUAUUCUGAUUCCGGAGUCUGAGCUCUUAACUACUCACUAAAAUCAUCUUAAAUAAGCUCAUCUAAAAUCAUGCUUAUUAUCUGAGGACCUAACCUGAUUUUGCUGUAAAUUCAAACUGAGAUGUUAUAGACUCCUUAAUAAAAUGUAUUUUAUUCAAAUUACCUUUUUUUUAAGGUAAGUCCCUUAGGGUAAGUUAGGAACUCCUACAGAAGCAUGCUUAUAAUGCUCAUGCAAGAUGGUAUUAACUCAUCACCAACAAAACAGAUGGCGUUGUUUUUCAAUUUUCAGUUGAGGCUAGUGACGGUUUACACAGGUUCUCGUGCAAGCUUCUCUGAGCCACACGUAACAAGGCUCGAAUGUGUAUGAUACCACAGAAGUUCAGCGACACUACUCUGAUAAGCAAUUUCUAUUAUAAGAAUGAUGAACCAACAGAAGAGAAACUCCAAGAAAAUAAAAAACGGAUGAGUAACGCUCUCCUUUUAUUUUCUCUCUUUAUAUAUAUUUUAAGAGCCUUUUUAUUACUUCUUAAUGUUAUUUGUAGGUUAACUCAAAACAAACUUUUGCAAGUUCUUCCUGUGACUCGCAGGCAUUAAGAAACAAAGAGCCAUGUCUGUUUGCUGCAUCCUAAGAGCCAGCUUCCCCUCAUUUUCCAUUUUAUUUCUACAUCAGCAGAGGCAGGCUCUGUGUGAGCUUGCAAGUAUUCUGUAACUAUGGUGUCUCCUCUAACAAAAAGGGCAUUUUCUUUUAAAAUAACACAGUUGAUGAUGAAGAAAAUGAAGCAGAGAGGAUUCAUUCCUAUUUCACAAAACCAGGAUUCUUCUUAACAGUGACAGUUUCAAAAAAAGGAAAACAAAAGAUAAAAUGAAACUCUGAGCAACAAAUAACAAUUGCUUUUGGUUUGUAAAGUAAUGUACCAGUACUUUAAUGCAGUCUGACCAAGGUCAAGUAUAAGCUUGCAGAUUACAUGGGAAAGCAUUAAUGGUAAAUCUUUCUCAGCUAAUCUACUCUAUAUUUAUAUCCAACCACCAAAGUUCAAUCUGAUCAGAUCUGUUUUAAUCAACUAACUGAUCUUUAAAACUAAAUGACAGAAUGAGUUUAACAACAUUUCUGACAACACUCAAGAGGCCGAAUUCUCAUGAAGAAGAUUACUCUUAUGACAGACUGAUCCAGAGGAAGAAAUUUAGUAAGUUUCCCCCAGAUAGCCUCCUUUAUCAUACUUCAAGUCAUUUUUCGAACAAUAUGAGGUUCCAAUUUUUGAGAUUCUAUAAUAUUAACAGGCCAUGUAGUAAGAGUGAUCUGAGGACAUUAUAAACAGAAUGAAAGAACUUCUAUUAUGAAUUUUGGCUGUCUUCCUGUAUCUUUCUAUGGAUUCUUGCCCUAGGGAGAAAAAGGAAAUAGAGAAAUCUGACCAUUCACUAAUCAUAUGUAAUUUGAUGCUCUUCUGAAGUGCCUCUUACCUUAAGAUUGUUUCAUAUUGUGAUGCCAGUAGCAGUAAAAUGUCUAUACUGGCACAAGCAAUUAACAGGGAAAUGUCAAGUUUGGUGAGUAAAUCCUAAUGUUUUAGCCACAAAUGCUUUAACACGAUAACAACAUAAUCACAGCUAGCCACAAAACGAGGGAAGAAAACCAACCCGGGAAGCAUUACUGACCAGGCGCUACGUUCGAGUUGCCCUGAGGUUUCAGCUGUGAAGAUGGCAGCACGCCCUGCGGUGUGCUGGUCCUGCUGUCAUCUAAGCCAAGAGACAAGUCCUUUCUGGGGGCUUUAAUUGUUGAAACAUCAUCGGUCAUGCCCAUCUGCUUCUGUCUUCUUCGCUUUUUACUCCACAGCUCAUGACAAUCUUGCCAUAAAGGAAGACUGGAAAAAAAAAAGGUAUCAAAUUGUUUGUCAGUGUUAUUUCUUAACGACAACCAAAACCUGCUAAUAUUUCCUACACAGCACCAAAGCUGCCACCCCACACCCCUGCCAGUUGAUCGUGAAGACUCCAUACACAUGCUGUGUGAGCCCCUCAACAAAAAUCAUCCUUGAGGCCCCACCUCUAUCAGGGAUUCACUUUUACAAAUGGACUGUUUUUCUGUGGCUUCUGAAUAAUUGACAAAUAAUCAUUUAUUAAAACUAUGAAUGAACGGGGCGCCUGGGUGGCUAAGUCGGUUAUGCAUCCGACUUUGGCUCAGGUCAUAAUCUCGCAGUUCGUGGGUUUGAGCCCCGUGUCGGGCUCUGUGCUGACAGCUUGGAGCCUGAAGCCUGCUUCGGAUUGUGUGUCUCCCUCUCUAUCUGCCCCUCCCCCGCUCAGUCUCUCUCUCUCUCUAUAAAAAAUGAAACAUUAAAAAAAUUUUUAAAAACUAUGAAUGAAGAACACAUGUUCAUAAAACUUUGUUACUAUUAUCCUUGGUGCAGUCUUUUAAAGCCAGUUCUUAUCACAGUACACCAUACACUGAACAGGACAUGGAAAAAAAGGCAAAAAAUAUGCCAUUCGCAGGAAAUGGAAACAGGAUUAAAGAGUAGUAAAGGCUAGGAGAUAACAUUUGUGAAAGACUUUCUAGUAAAAGCUUUUUACUUUUUUAAUACCCUCUUAUUUACUUCCAUAAUCAAAUGCUCUAAAAUGAAACUAUGCUACAGAGAAGGUUCAAAAAUAGGUAGUCCAGGCUAAUUACUCAUCAAUAAAGAGUUCUGAAUACCUAGCAGCUAUCAAAAUUACCCACAAUUCUGAAACAGUUCUACCUUCAUUAAUGUAAUUUCUUAAAACUGACAACACUACAGAGUAACUUUUGCCUAAAGAAAGAUGUAAGUGGUUGAUUUAUAAAUGUUUUCUUCUUAUCCUAAUAAAAAUUCCAAUGGGAAGUUACUAUUAUAUCUAUUUUAAAGAUGAGAAAAUUGAGGCUUGGAAAGGUUAAUAAACUUGCCCAGAAUAUCUACAAAUUCUCUUAAGCAGCCCCAACCUGGUUGAUACAGCUACAAGUCUUCAACCUGGGUGUGUUCACCUCUAGGGAUGCUUUUGAAGGGGAUGCACCUGAAAUGGUUUUAAAACAACUGACAUAGCUUUCCUACAAUUGACUUUGGAGAAUGGCCUGCACAGCAAGUUCUUUCACACCUCCUCUUUCACAAUUACUCUCAUCUCAUGUUACAAAAUAAAGGCAUAUGCAACAAUAUGGUCGAAUCUUAGCAAUAUAAUAUCAAGUAAAAAAAAGUCAUUCCCAAAAGAUUACAAACAGCAUGACACUCUUUUAUAAAAUUAAAAACAACUAAAAAUUUUAAAAUAUAACUUUUUAUGAGUACAUAUAGAUGGCAACAAAAGUAUAUACAAAAGAAAACAGGGAUGAUGGUUACCUCAGGUGGAGGAAGGCAAGGGGAUAGGUCGUGGGGCAGGGGGUGGGGAGAGGGUAUGAUAUGACUAACGUAGGUUAUUUCCAAGGUUCUAGCUUUUAUUUGGUAGGUUCAUGGCUGCUUAUUAACAUCAUUUAAAAUAACUAAUUAAGUAACUAAAAGAAAAAAAAGAGAGCCAUGCAUGGACCAAUGAUGAGUGACACAAGGAUUAUGAUUAAACCAAGUCUAUGCACCUGAGGUCCAAAAACAAAACAAAGGCAUACCUCUCAGCCAUCUUACUAUGGUGCAUUGCCUCAGCGUGUAAAAACCUCCUGGAGUAACAAACAAAGGUACAAUUUGAAAUAUUGAUAUUGGGAAGCUUUAAGGCAUCAUAAACCCGCCAAAGACUUUCCUUUCUGUGUGUGUGUUUAUGUAUUUUAAGAUGUGUGGCCUUAGCCCCUGCUGGGAUAUUCCGAAUUCAGAUAUACUGCGGUACUCAGAGUGGGGCAACAGGAGUGACUUCACUUCUUCCACCCUGAUGCUCUUGCAGGAGAGCCCCAUAACGGGAAAGCAAAGAAAUCCACAGGAAAGGGCUUCUGGGCUCCCUCCCACAAUUUAAAGCUGAGAGAUUCUUUAUGGAUGAUCUCCACGCUCAUCUCUAGGAAAGACCAACAUUACCCAACCAAUAGCUGUAAUGUAUAGGUUAGUGAUGCAGACUCUGGAUAUACCGGCAAUGUUUUCCAGGAUGACCACAUUUUUAUGUGCUUUUUCUGAAGGUUCAAAUACCGGCUCAGCCACUUACUUAUUGGCUCUCAUUAGGCAAGUAACUUGACCUCUGUGCCUCAGUUUCCUUAUCUUUAAAAAUGAGAUUAACAAUAUAAUCUACCUUAUGGGGUAGAGGUAAUGAUAUAUGUUAACAUAUGUAAGCGCUGGACAGUGCCCCUCACAUAGUAGGCACUGUAUUCACGCUUGAUACCCAUUUAUCAUCAUUCCGUAAGAUAGUUUAAAACUACUUUUAUCAAAUCACUCACAUCAUGAAAUGCUUAUUCCAAUUACAGUUGAUCAUAUUUUAUCUUAUAAAUUGUUCAGUGCUUUUCACUUACUGUUGAGAAAAAAUAAAAUUAUAGGCUAGCUGUCACUUUUUCACUUUUUAGUAAUAUGUUUUUUUCUUUCCAUUAAAUAUGCCAGUAAAGUUUUGACACCACAUCUAAUAUAAUUAAUGCAGUUGUUUUGUUUUUUUGUUUUAACAUCCUAUUCUCAUUUGAUUAUUCCUAAAAUUAAUCACAAUAUCAUUAUACUUUCAACCUGAAUGCUUUAGUGAUGCAUCCUGUAAUUUAUUACUGGAUUACAGCCUGUUCACCAAAAUGUGUAUUAAUAUGCUUUUUUUUUUUUUAAUAUGCUUAUUUUUAAUGGAGAAAUGCAGUCAGGUGUGUUCUGGUAAAAAUUAGGUGAUGUGUUUGACAAUAUGGACAGGUUCCAAUUAGGUUAUAUGACAGAUGUUUUCCAUUAAUUAAAUGGGAUGUAUCUACAGUUCCAAGGUUUUCACAAAACCAUGCAUUUUAAAAAUGUAUUAAGAAAAACGAUGUAACAUAUAGAUUGGCGAAGUUGUACUGACGUUACAUGUUGACACCCUAAACUUUUCCAAGUAUACUUACUGGAUGAAAUAAGUGUUAAUAAAAGAAAAAGUACGAAGUAUAAGAAAUCAUUUAAUAAGAUACUAAUAAAGCUUCUUUAGUUUAUUUUCUCAAAAUUUGAAAAAAUAAUGAAUGACUCUUAAAAAUCUUUUCAAGCCAUAGGCUUUCCAAUUCUUUACUGUCAAGAAAAUUAAAACAGAACCUUAAGUCGACAUCUGAAAGGUCAUUAUCAUAAUUUCUGAUGAGAGAUCACUCUGUGAUUUUUGGACAUAAUAUGGAAGGAGUGCAAAGAACUCAGUGAUAAAACUAUGACAAAAGACCAUUUGUUCGCAAAGGCUUACUCACAAGGGUACUUAUAAAAAGAAAAGAAUAAAAUUACAAUUAAUGUGGAACUCUCUCAUUCUAGAAUGAGUAAUAUUAAUUGGUAGAUAUAAAAAAAAUCACAGUCCUACCUAUUUCAUUAGGUUGCAUUUACAAACAAAUUUAUUAAUUUUUUCUUUCCUUAAAAAAAUGUUUUUAAUUGGAAUAUAGUUGCCAUAUAAUUUACCAUAUAAUAUUAUAUUAGUUUCAGGGCUACAACAUAGUGAGUCAACAAUUUUCUUUCCUUUUUUAAACUGAAAUAUGUACUAGUAAUAUUCACAAUGACCAUCUGAUCAAGAAGAAAAGAAGCUUAAAAUCAGAAAAAUUUUAAGAUUAAAUUUCCAUUUAUAUACAUAUAUUUGUUUUAAAGAAGUUCAAUACGGUAAUCAAUAAAAUACUUUCAAGCAUAAAUAUGUUACAUUAAAAACCUGUGAAAUUAAUAUAAGUUCCAGAUUAAAAAAAGGGACACUGUCCAAUUAUUGAAGAGUAUUCUGUAUUUUCUAAAUGAAUCUUGAUGAAUAUCAAAAUGCUAAGAUAUUUUGAUCCCAGUGGGUACAUUUACAAGAAGUGAGAUAACUGCUCCAUUUAAAAGUGUCAACACUUACCAUACACUGAAAUUUACAUCUUUUGCAACUAUCUCCACCCUUGAUUAAAACAAGUUUAGAUGUUAAUUAAAAAUAUGCUCAAUAUAAUUUUUACCAGGAUUCUUUCAUGUGGGCCACUUGAACCAGGAGAUCAACUUAGUAUUACCAAUAAUGGGAGAAGAGUGACCUUACAUUCCUCCUGAUAGGAUAGAGCAGGAAGCACACAUCACUACCUAAGUACUAUUCUUGACAAAAAAAAAAAAAAAGUUAUUCUAAUUUUGAUCACAAGAAAGCAAUUACAGCCAAAAUGUAGAAUGUUUUACAAAAUAGCUAGCUUGAACUCUUCAAAAAUGCCAAUGUCAUAAAAGCCCUCCCCCAAAGAGCAAUUAAAGACUGAAGAGAAUUACAACCAAAUCCAAUGAGUGAGCUUUGACUGAAUUCUUCAUCAAAAAAACACAAAAAACAAAACAAAAACUAUAAAGGAAAUUACUGGGACAACUGGAGAAAUUUAAAUAUGGAUUGCCUACUACAUACUGCAAUGUUAAAUUUCUUAUGCUUUAUAAUGGCACUGUAGUAACAAAGUCCCAGUUCUUACAGCUACAUGACAAAUCAUUUAUAAGUAUUGUGUCACUUCCACAAUACAAUAUUCAGAUAUUUCAGGACGAAAACCUUAUAUAUAGUGUAAAGCAAAUGUUAAUAAUUAUUGAAUCUAGGUGAAUGACAUAUAAGUACUUAUUGUACUGUUCUUCAUAUUUUUCUGCAGAGGUGAAAUUUUUCCAAAUCAGAAGUUAUAAAAGAUAUACUUUGAAGGGGUACUGGUGCCAAAGUCUCAAGCCUGCUGAUAUAUACCCACAAGCAAAGAACAACAACAACAACAAAAACCCCACCAUGAAACAAUUAAUUAAACAGCGAAUGAUUCAGGUCCUUCAACAUGUUAAGUGAUAGAUCCUUUCUGCCUGUCAAAUCAUCCCACAAUGUCUAUUCAUAUAAUUCAAUAAAAACCUAAUGAAGUUGAACGUGAAGGUCUCAGAAAUAAAAUAAGUCCAAUCUAAGUGAUAAGUGGAAGAGCCAGGAUUUGAACUCCAAAGCCCAUGUUUGUUCAUUCACAAUAUACUAAUUUUAUUACACGGAAACAUUUUAUUAUAGGGAUAGGCCUGCUUUUGUGACACUCAUCGUUCAGUUUUUAAAUUACUAUAAAAAUCCCUACAAAAGUUCUAGGUCCUAUCAAAAAAGAGAACCAAGUGGACUGCUCUGUCCCCUCCCUUUUUCCCCAAAGCAAUCCUAGAGAAAUUACAGGAGCCACAAGGGAAGGAAGGCUCAAGAACCCAGCUAUUCUGACUCCCAAACUCUAUACAUUUUCUCUGCUUCAUCCAAUAAACUCCUUCUAUACAGACUUUUGUUACUAAUGCUCUUUUAUCCAAUGAUAAGGAUUUUCUAUUAUAUAGUAUGCCAGGAAUAUUUCAGAACUUCUCUUUGUUACUGAACUAACUGGCUGGCUCCACCCUUUACUAGAUUUGUAUUCUUGGGCAAGUUUCUUAACCUCUUUGAGCCUGCUUCCUCCUCUAUAUAAAGAGGACAAUAAUAAUACCCACCUGAUAGGAUUAUAAAGAUUAAUGUAAUACAUGAAAAAUGCUUAGCAUAGCACCCAAAUUUUUAGCUAUAGCAACACUGGGGCUGGCAGAAGUAGUACUAGAAUAAUAUUAGCAGCAGGAAUAUUUUCCUAGAGUUGAAAUCUAUUAAUAAAAUUAGAAAAAGGAAAAGCUGCUCUUGCUAUUCCUAUGGUUAGCAGAACAUUAAGCAAGGUUCUAAAUUCUAGAUGUGCAAAUUAUGUGUAUUACUAGUAUUCUAUUUCUUUUGACUUAUUCUUUUUGACUUAAAUAAUCAUGCAAUAGCUUCUGAUCAUUUUAUACAGAUGCUACUAAAACUGUCCAGAUGGGAUCUAAUUAUUAAUAAAGAGCCACUUACUCUGGUGGAGGCAUCUUUGAGGGCUCCACGUCCCGAAGGAAUUCGCACUGAAGAGCCUGUUCUGCAGUGCAGCGCUUACUAGGAUCCAAGGCGAGCAUGUAAUCAAAUAAGUCUAAUGCGGCUGCAGGAAUA